UAGAUUUUAAAAACGAUUAUCGCCUUUGAUUUAAGGAUAUAAAAACUCAAAGCAGACUAAAGGAAGUAUAACACAAACCAACACAUAAGCCCAAGCGGAUGGGAAUUCCAUAUUAUAUUUCAAAAACGCCGCUCGACGUUUUUGACCUAAAAAUAAAUGUAGCUGAAAAUCAGCUGACAAGUCACGUGGUACAUGGUACUGUCAUUUAUUUUUGGCAUAGAAAUUACAUUAUUUCUAAAGAAAGAGAUUUAGCUUGUUGAGCAAAUAAUUGAUUUUCAUUGAAUAUUUUUGAUAAACCAAUAAAAUAUACUUCAUAUUUAAAUCAAUAUUUUUAUUGGAAAAUCACUUUUCACAAAUACGAAUAUGCGGUCGAAAAGAAUUCAAGAUGGUUCGGACAAAAACAAGUGCUAGCGCUAAGACUAAAAAAAAACAAGAGAUGCAAGGUACAGGCGUAAUAAAAGGGAAAGGAUAAUAGACAUUGGUAUUCAGUGUGAUCGAUGGAGAAGAGUUAAAGAAGCUACUGGGAUUGAAAAGGACGAGAAAAUGAUGGAAAUAUUGAUCGAUGCGUUUGUCUAUUUAUAUACAAUAGUUUAUCCAGGUCUUACCCUUUUCUGAGUUUCAUUUCUAAAAUUAUUUUUUUCAGCUGUACAGGUGUCAGUUAGCAGCAAUAGAUUAUUCAAAACACUUGAAUCGUCCUGUUUUGUUGGACAAAGAAGGAAAUGAGAGGAGAAAAAAGGUGUACUCAAAAGCUGCUUGUAAUUGGAGCACAAGGCCUGUGAAAAAAACAUACAUAACCGGUUUGAUCACUGAAGUUAUAAAUGAAUUCACCAUAGGCAAGAAAAGAAUAAGUGGCAAAUGUGAACAGCUGCCUGAAGACUCCAAAAGAAUUAGGUCAACUAUAGCCCCCGUCACCCCUCCACCUACAUCAAUACUUGGAGAUCAGCAUGUCUCUAGAUUGAGAAAAGCGAAAAAAUGAAUUGUUGCCCAAGACGUGUUUGAUAUUCAUUUGAAGUUGACGCAGAAGUUAUCUUUGUUAGAUAACUAUUAAGUUUCACAUCUUUAGUGUAAAUAUAAUUUUAGAAGUGUUUUGAAAAUGUACAAUCUUACAUUAUGUUAUAAAUAAUGAAUGCUCUUGGUUGUACAAUGCAAUUACAUUUUUUAGGAAGUUUUAAUAUUGAAUUUAGCAUAAAAUAUUUUUUUUAUGUUAUAUUUUGUGCGUUUUUUAUCAAUACAUUUUUAUGCUCCCCCAAAAUUUAUUUUGGGGGGAGCAUAUAGUUGCCGCUUCGUCUGUCCGUCCGUGUGUCCGUCUGUGCACAAUUUUUGUCCAGGCUAUUUCUCAGAAAGUAAUGACCGGAAUUCAAUGAAACUUUAUGGGAAGCUUCACUACCAAGAGGAGAUGUGCAUAUUAUCAGCCGGUUCUCUUCAGAUGAUUUUUCACAGAGUUAUGGCCCUUUGAAAUUUUCCAUUGUACAUAUAGUGCAAUUCUUGUCCGGGCUAUUUCUCAGCAACUAAUGACUGGAAUUCUAUGAAACUUUAUGGGAAGCUUCACUACCAAGAGGAGAUGUGCAUAUUAUCAGCCGGUUCUCAUCGGAUGAUUUUUCACAGAGUUAUGGCCCUUUGAAAUUUUCCAUUGCACAUAUAGUGCAAUGCUUGUCCGAGCUAUUUUUCAGCAACUUAUUACAGUAAUUCAAUGAAACUUGAUGGGAAGCUUCACUACCAACAGGAGAUGUGCAUAUUAUCAGCCGGUUCUGGUCGGAUGAUUUUUCACAGAGUUAUGGCCCUUUGAAAUUUUCUAUAAACUGUACAUAUAGUGCAAUUCUUGUCCAGGCUAUUUCUCCCCAACUACUGACCGGAAUUCAAUGAAGCUUUAAUCCAUCCAUCGUAUAAUUUUGUCCACAGUUAUGCCCCUUAAGACGUUUCCUUUAAUCUGAAUAUAUAGUACAAUAUUGUGACAAAAAAACACUUUUGGGGAGCAUCACCAGUCUACACCGGUUUUUUGUUACACAUGUAAAGAACACAAUUUUUCUUACAAAAUGUUUAGUUUUUUGUUUGAUUAUCGAUAUGUGUUUUUCAUUGCCUUCUUUAUUACCUGUAUUUAAUAAACCAUUGUAGUCAAUGUC